rnacentral:lncRNA from 1 species
AUUCAUGGUCUCGCCUCUGAAGCUACCUACCCUUACGAGGGAGAUGAUGGCACCUGCAACAGCAAGAAGGAAGCCCACCCUGCAGCCAAGAUAAAGGGGUAUGAAGACGUGCCUGCCAACAAUGAGAAGGCUUUACAAAAGGCUGUUGCCCAUCAACCUGUUGCAGUUGCCAUUGAUGCUGGGGGAUUUGAGUUCCAAUUCUAUACAAGUGGUGUGUUUACAGGACAGUGUGGCACAGAACUAGAUCAUGGUGUUGCUGCUGUUGGUUAUGGAAUCGGCGAUGAUGGGAUGAUGUAUUGGCUGGUGAAGAACUCAUGGGGCACAGGAUGGGGCGAAGAAGGUUACAUACGGAUGCAAAGAGAUGUCACAGCAAAGGAAGGUCUCUGUGGAAUUGCAAUGCAAGCAUCUUACCCCACUGCAUAAAAUUAAUUACAAAUAAAGGCAAUCCCCACUAAUCUGUGGUUAAUUAAUUACAAGACGUGGGCUUAUAAUUUCUAAUCUAUAGUUGUGUAAAAUUCAGCAAGGACCUCCUGUAGUCAAAAGAGUCCAUAGAAUUAUGUAUGGACCAUAAUAUAUAAAUAUGAACGUACACCUUCAGCUGGUUCUUUCCUACUUCUGUGUUUUGAAUGAGAAAGGAGGGGGAGUUCUCAUGCUAAGAGUAGCAGACUGAACAAAAAAAGGAAUAAGGAUGGAAAAUGACACCUCAAAAGAAAAAAAAAUGUUGACAUUGCAAUAGCCAUGCAUUCAUAAUAGAGCCAACUUGAUUAGUACAGGGAAUCUAUAUCAAUCAAAAUUGCUAUCAGGAUAUGGGUAUCAAAAGUCUUGAACAUCUUUCUCAGGCUAACUUAUUCAUCGGGGAGGCCAUCCAAUUGAUAUAUAACUGAUGGAAACCUUUUAUUACAUGAACCCAUUGAACCAACUUUAUAUUAAUUCAAUUCAAGCCUGUUCCUUUAAUUCAUCAAUCCUAGCUGUUGCCUGUGGCUUUGAAGUCUUAUUUUGCAGAUUAUACAUGACCCACUCAUUGCAUGCUCCAUGCCCAAAUUAUGAUACAUAUCCAUCAUUUUGAUAUAGCAGGUCAUAGAAUGUCACAUUUUUUUGGACUUAGUACCACAAGGCCAGAACAAGUCUCCAAUAAUAUGGCACUAGGUGCAUCUUACCUCCAGGCUUUAAUGUAUGGCUAACUUCAUUAAACUCCAGUCUAGAAUCUUUUGUCAUCAUGCAAUAUACCAUUUUGGAGCGCUAUAAAAAAGUUCCCUUUUCUGCUAAAAUGGCCGAGGAAAAACUUCAGUCCUAAAUCUUCUCCUUGGUUCUCCAUGAAAGAGCUUCAGCAAUGGAGAAGACAACUUGCUUUCUGUUAUUGCAAGAAGAUGGUUUUAUGUACAGAUUUGUUUAACAACUAGACUAACAAGCUACAGGUGUAACCAUUCAACUAAUCAAGAUAUCAUUUUGGUGGGGAGUCCGUUAAGCAACUGCUGAUCUAGUUAGGUUCUUGAUGUUUAUCAUCCCCUUGCAAGCUCAUUGGGCGUGGGACUAUUGAUAAUUUGGAACUAAACGUGAAGAACAGUGAACUUGGAAGAUGUUUUGUGAAAAUAUUAGCUACCUGACUUGUGGAAGUAAUGUAUUGUAUGAUCAGAUCUUUUUGAAGGACUUUGUCAUGAAUGAAGUGUAAGUAUAGUUCAAUGUGUUUGGAGCGUGCAUGAAGUACGGGAUUGGCAGCUAAGGUAGCUGCACUUUGAUUGUCACACCAAACUAGAGGAGGAAGAACUUGAGGUAUGCACAACUCCUUCAAAAUUGAUUGUACCCAAGUUAUCUCAGCUGUAAGAGAUGCAAGACCUCGCCAUUCCAAUCCUGAACUACUUCAGGAGACUACCUUUUGUUUAGUGGAGGACCAUGAGACCAAGUCGGGUCCUAGGAAGAGACAAUAUCCACCAGUGCUGUGGCGAUCAUCAAGACAAGAUGCCUAAUAUGCAUUAGUAUACCCUUGAAUAUCAAGGGAGGAAGAAACAUGUAGUAGCGAGGGUGUGCCUUUCAGAUAGCGAAGGAUUCUCUUGACUGCACACCAGUGAGUUGAGCCAUAAAUUGGCGAGCUUUGUUAACAACAAAGGAUAGGUCCGGUCUUGUGAGAGUUACAUAUUGAAGGGCCCCAAUCAUGCUUCUGUAUAGAGUAGGAUCAGGAAGAGGAUCUCCAUAAACCAUAAGAGUUGUUUACCCAGAGCACCCGGGGUGAUAACUGAUUUAGCAUCAAGCAAAUUGGUUCUUUUGAGAAGGUCCUGAAUAUACUUCCAUUGGUUGAGAUGGAGGGAAUUUAGUCAAUGAGUGCUUCAACACCCAAAAAAUAACUGAGAGUGCCAAGGUCCCGAAGUGCAAAUGUGUUGCUUAGGUGAGAAAUGAAGGAAUUUACUGGAGAGGUAUCACUACCGGUGAUGAGAAUGUCAUCUACAUAGAUUAAAAGAAAUAGAAUUUCUGUAUCUAUGUGCCGGAAAAACAAAGAGCUGUCAGCCCGGAAGCAUUGAAAUCCCAAUUCAAUUAGAGAGUUACUUAAUUUGGUGAACCAAGCUCUGGGGGCUUGUUCGAGGCCAUAGAGGACUUUGUGAAGACAGCAUACAUGGGAUGGGAAUUGGUUAUUGAUAAACCCAGGUGGAUGGUGAAUGUAGACUUGUUCCUGAAGAUCCCUAUUAAGGAAUGCAUUCUCGAUAUCUAGUUGUCAUAUCGGUCAAUGUGAGGAUAGAGCUAGGGUGAGCAUGAUACGAAGGGUUGAGGGUUCCACCACUGGAUUGAAAAUCUAAAACUAGCCAUUAUACAACUGUUAUUGUUGACAUAUUUGAGGAACCCAUGACUUGACAACUGGUAUUGUUGACGUUUUGGUUGCCCCUUCAAGCCAUUAUACAAGAGGAAAUACAAGGCUAUAUAUCAGGAGCAUGGGGAUGGUUUGUAACCUGUAACUAACUUAUAACAAACUCCCAGCUCAAAAAUUAGCUUAUUACAACAAGAAAAACAAAAAAUACCUCAAUCAGUUUAAUAUAAGUAAAUUUCAAAGAUGAUGUGUUACACAAUUGAAUGAAUCCUAAUUUCGUUGAGACCAAAAUAUUCCAUUACUUUAAAAGCUAGGUGUUAUACAUUCCAAAAAAUUUAGCCUGAGACAGGCCGUGAUUUGGUUUCAACUCCCUUAUGAAAUCUAUGGAAUAUCGUAAUAAUACACUAAAUUCUUUUCCAAUGUUUGGGUAUUCAAUCAUCAAUUAUCCAUUGUUUUAUAUGAUGAGAAACCAUUCUCUUGUAAUUAUGGAUGACACGUUACGGUGAUGCACCAAAUAGGACAAGAACAUCCUCCUAAUAGCACGUAGUUCAAUAUUAGAGCAAUUAAUACAAAAAGAAAACAUCCUAAACUACGAAUAAUUUAGGAUUCCAGACACGAACUAGGUAGAGAUUUUUAUACAGAAGAGAACAAUUCUAGUAAUAAUUUAACCAACUAAUAUUAAACAAAGUAGCUGAUGGAGAUGGGUCCAAAUCACAACAUUUUAAUUUUCAAGGCACGUAGAUAAGCGUAUCGAAGGUUUUCCUUGGCAGUAUUAUUUGAGAUCAGUGUGUUAUGGGAGGGAAUUUUUCCUAUAUAAACCCCUGCUGCAAUCUCCGAGUGUAUCAAUCUGCUUACUCAUUUAAUUCAUCAAUCCCUACUGCUUCCAAUAUCAUGGCUUCUGUUAACCAGUACCAAUACAUCUGUUUGGCUUUGCUCUUUGUUCUGGCUGCUUGGGCAUCUCAAGCCACAGCCCGCAACCUUCAUGAGGCAUCAAUGUAUGAGAGACAUGAGGAUUGGAUGGCUCAGUAUGGGCGUGUAUAUAAGGAUGCUGACGAGAAAAGCAAGCGCUACAAGAUAUUCAAGGAUAAUGUGGCACGUAUAGAAUCUUUCAACAAGGCCAUGGACAAAUCUUACAAGCUGAGCAUCAAUGAAUUUGCAGAUCUUACCAACGAAGAGUUCGGAACCUCACGAAAUAGAUUCAAGGCCCACAUCUGCUCCACCGAAGCAACUUCUUUCAAAUACGAGAAUGUUACUGCAGUGCCAUCUACUAUUGAUUGGAGAAAGAAAGGAGCUGUUACACCCAUCAAGGACCAAGGCCAAUGCGGUAAGUGAAAAUAUUUUUGUAGUAUGGUUUGAAAUGAAUGUUUUUCUCACUUUUUUAUGAUAAAAAAAUGCAGGGUCUUGCUGGGCAUUUUCGGCUGUGGCAGCUAUGGAAGGAAUUACUCAGCUAUCGACUGGGAAGCUAAUCUCUCUUUCCGAACAAGAGCUGGUUGACUGUGACACUAGUGGGGAGGAUCAAGGCUGCAAUGGUGGUCUAAUGGACGAUGCCUUCAAAUUCAUAAAAACAAAAUCAUGGUCUCACCACCGAAGCUAACUACCCCUACGCGGGAACUGAUGGCACCUGCAACCGCAAGAAGGCAGCCCACCCUGCAGCCAAGAUAAAUGGGUAUGAAGAUGUGCCAGCCAACAAUGAGAAGGCUCUACAAAAGGCUGUUGUCCACCAACCUAUUGCCGUUGCCAUUGAUGCUGGGGGGUUUGAGUUCCAAUUCUAUUCAAGUGGUGUGUUUACAGGACAGUGUGGCACAGAACUAGACCAUGGUGUUGCUGCGGUUGGUUACGGAACCAGCGAUGAUGGGAUGAAGUAUUGGCUGGUGAAGAACUCAUGGGGCACAGGAUGGGGCGAAGAAGGUUACAUACGGAUGCAGAGGGAUGUGACUGCAAAGGAAGGUCUCUGUGGAAUUGCAAUGCAAGCAUCUUACCCCACCGCAUAAAAUUAAUUGAAAAAAGGCAAUCCCUACUAUCCUGUGGUUAAUCAAUUACAAGAUAUGUUGCGCGGAUAAUUUCUAAUCUAUGGUUGUGUAUAAUUCAGCAAGGAUCCCCUGUAGUCAAAAGAGUCCAUAAAAUUAUGUAUGGACCAUAAUAUAUAAAUAUGAACGUACGCCUUCAGUUGGUUCCUUCCUAUUUCUGUGUUUUGAAUGAGAAAUAACGGGAUCUCAUACCAAAAGUAUCAGACUAAAUAAAGAAAAAGAGCAAGGAUGGAAAAUGACACAAAAAAAAAGGAAGACAAUUUUUUGUUAACAUUGCAAUUAGCCAAAACAAUUUCUUAGCUUUAUGCAACAUACCAACACCACCACUAGCAAGCAAGAUAUCAUCAACAUAUAUAAUCGAAAAUACAAAUUUGGUCUUACCAACCUUUAGAUAAACACAACAAUCAAUGGUGUUUCUUAAUUCAAAGGAAGUUACUAUGUCAUUCAACUUAAGAUACAAUUGUUGAGAGGCUUGUUUAUGUAGGGAAUACUUGGAUUACACCAUUCACUAUCCUAAGACCGGUUAAGGUGCAUGCAAUAUUUCUUAGGGCCUUUAGAUCUUAGCAACAUAAGCAACAAAUAUAAAAAACAAUCAAGAUCUAGAAUUUUGUACUUUACCUCAGAUGUGGGUAUUUCCAGAUAUAAUCCAGUUGGUGAAGAGGAGUGUCAAAGUCGUUGUAGUUGUAGAUAUCGCAAACCCACUAAUCUUCUACCACGAUGACUCUCUUUUUGAAUCUCGGAACUAGAGGGAUGAAAUCCUCUCUCUAGGGUUGUGGAUGACCUAUUAUGGAAUGUAUACACGAAUGCUGAUAAAAAGGACAAUUGUUACACAAUAUCUAAGCAUAAUGUGGCAUAUAUAUAUAGAAACUUUUGACAAUCCCAUGGACAAAACUUCUAUGCUAAGAAUGAAUGAAUUUGUAGGUCUAACUGAUAAAGAAUUCAUAGCCUCACAAAAUAUUUCAAGGUGCACAUUUGUUUUGUAGAAGCAACUUCCUUCAAAUAGAAAGAUGUUAGUUCCAUCCACAAUUAAAUAAAGGAAAAAAUGAGUUGUUGAAAAGUUCUCUUAAUAAUUUAUUUUUAAUCAUUCAUGAAAGCAAAAGAUCAUAAUUCCAAAAAAUUUUGAAUGUCAUGAUUUUUACUAACAUAAAUAUAAUUAAGUUAUUAGACAUACCGUGAUCCAUAAUUGAAACUUUGUUUCAAAUGAGGACCUUUGAACUUCAAUCCAUGGAAAAUCGAUACCUCUCUCUUAGCCCUAUUAAUUUUUUAUACAAUAAUAAUUAAUAUCAUUAAUGAUGGAUCUAUUACUUUUAUAGGUUGAGAGAGGACUAGUUUCAUAUCAUAAACAACUUAUUUUCCAUCAAAGUAAAAUUCCAAAAGAAAAUAUUACUGUAACACACUACAAUAGACAAAUUCAUACUUAAAUAAGUUAUCAUAAAUAGUAUAGUUAAUUAGAAUAAUAAUGUGAGUCAUGGCAGUUGUUUUUUAUUUAUUGUAACACAUUUUCUUCUAUAUACAAACUAGCAAUCUAAGUAACUCAGUCUAUAAAUAUGAAGUAUUAAUAAAUGUCUACAAUUAUGUCAUUACCAUAGACUACUCCUACAUAUCAUCAUUCAUUUAAUCUCUUAUAUGGACACAAAAGGAAAGAUAAGAAACAUCAAAAUCACAUUAUUUACUUGAAAACGUCACUUUAUAAUCAUAAUGCAAAUCUACAAGUUAUUAUUUAAUAAUCACAAUAAAGACUCAUCCUUUCCAUGUAUUCCUUAAAUGUCUCUAAUGGUAAUCUUUUCAUCAAGGGAUAAGCAAUAUUCAUAAACUUUAGACUUAUGUAUUUUAUUGGUACUUUUUGUUUUUAGGCCUCCUUUUCAACAAUAAAUUAUUUCAAUUCUAUGAAUCUCACACCCUUAGAAUAUUUGUGAUUCUUGGAGAAAAAGAUAGUUAUAGAAUUAUCCAAAUAAAUUUUUAGAGGCUUGACAAUAGAGUUGACAAAUUUAAGACCUAAAAUAAUGUCCCACAACACCACAAUUCAUGAAUUGUAACCUUAAAGAAAUCGAAAAUUUUGAAUUCCAUAGUAGAUGAAGCUAUGACAAAAUAUUUCACACUUUUUCAUGAGAUUGCUUCUUUUGCUAGUUAGAGCAAAUAAAUGAAAGUGGGCUUUUUUCUAUCAAGACAUCCAGAAAAAUCUAAAUUUAAUAUCUAAUUACUCCUAGAUGAUCAAAUCUCUUAAAUUUGAGCAUGUACUCUUUCAUUCCUAGUAGAUACUUUGAUAUCUUCUUUGCAAUUUUUAAUGAUCCAUUCUUGGAUUACUUUAUCAUGAUUUGCUCGGCAUGCUUACAACAAAGCUGAUAUUUGGACUGUUGCAAGUUUGGGUAGACAUCAGACUUGCUACAACACAUAAAUAAGGGAUUCUUUCCUUUUGUUUGUAUUUUAAAUCAUUUCUUGCACAUUAUAUGAGACUAAAUUUAUCCUUUUCCAUAUUAAUGCAAUAGUUGUGAAACAAUUUUCCAUUCCAAAUCUUUCUAGGACUCUAUAUAUUAUUAUAUGCAUUAUGAGAUAAUCCUAAUAAUUCAUGUGACCUAUCCUAUAAUAUUUUAAUUCCAAUCACACAAGCUACCUUUCCCAUAUCUUUAAAAGAUUUUUAGAUGCUUAGUUACCUAGAAUGUCUCUAAAAAUUGGAAAUUUAACAUCCUAAAUUAGUUUUAAAGGAAAUAGUUUAUAAAAAUAAUAAAUCUAACAAACAACUUUUUAUUUCUCUGCUAUUUUUGUUUUAUUUUCCUAGCAACCAAACAUAGUUUAAUGAAAACACAAAAACUUAGGGAAAAUAUGGAAGUAGAAAUACCAUGGAGAUAUUGAGUUUUCUACCAUUCACGUUGUUUCAAGGUAAGUUUGAGUUCCCCUCGAUAGGAUCUUACAUUUCUCUCCAAUGAGUUUGGGGCAUAUAACUCUAAUGGGUUUAGGACAUUAGAUCCUGGGUUGUUCCCUUACAAAUUUGUAAUCACCAUGCAAUCCUAAGAGAAAGAGAUAUGAUGAGGGUUGUUCGUUUAUCUUCUCUACAAUGGUGUUGUAGUGUCCUCUAGUGGGUUUAGGGCUAUGAAAUAGUGCCCCCAUUUUAAUCAAAGGUAUGUUUGGAUUUAAUCAUAAUUAGUUAAUGUUUGGUUUUAAUAUUUUGGAGAUCAUGUUGUCAUGUCAGCUUCCAAUCAACUAUUAUAUGAAAUAUGAUGUGACAUCUUACAAUGGUAUUUUUUACCCUUACUUUUUAUAGCCUCACAUCAAUUAUGGAACUUAUAUGGAUGUUGGACUAACUAUUAGCUUCUUCUAUCCCUAAAGCAUAAUUGUCUCAAAAUUAUUCAAGUAGGUUGAUUACUUGAAGAGAUUGUGAAGGUUCAUUGAAACCUUGGAAUCCAAGUGUAAAGAGUUUGAAGACUUUGACUUUAACCUUUACUCAGCUAGGAGCUUGAAGAAAGUGGACUUAGGUGACUUGCCGAACCACUAUAAAAGCGUUUGGAUUUCUCUUCUCUCAACUUCUUUAUAUUGAUUUGUACCUUAAUUUUAUCAUAUAUUAUGGUAAAUUAUUUACAAAAAGUUUUUAACACUCAAUUCUCCCCCCUUCUUAGGUAUUUUCUCAAGUUAAUUAGCCCUUUUCACAUAAAAGAGGAGAAAAACACUAUCUAGAAAAUCAAAUAAAAAAAAGAGAAAAUCAUACAUGGAAAACUAGAAGUCAUGGUUUGGAAAAUAAAAAGAGUUGAUCUUCCACUAUUCUGACAUUUUCCCUAUUAAAAAUUAACCAUAUCAUUUAUGGAGGAAUAUGUCUUAAGUAGGAAUGGCAACGGGGCGGGUUCGGGAUGGGUCACCCCCAUCCCAACCCCGUCCCGUUUAUUAAAAACAAUACUCAUCCCUGUCCCGUUUAGUUUUUUUUUUAAUUACUUUCAAAUUUUUUAAUUACAUUAAAAUAAAUAUAUUUUAUAAAUAAUAAAAUUAUUAUAUUUUUUAUAACUUAUUUUAUUAAAUUUUUUAUUAUUAUCUAUAUAUUAAAAAUAGUAAAAUAAAAUUUUAAAUUAAAUUAAUUUUAAAAUUAAUUUUAUAUAUAAUAGGGACGGCGGGGGGGAGGGGGGGAUGAGGCAAUACCUGAACCUGCCCCGGGUUUAAAAAAAAAAUUUCAUACCCGUCCCAAACUCGUUUAUUAAAUUUAAACCCCGUCCCAUUAGGGGCGGAGCGGGACGGGUACCCGAAAAAACCCGCCUCGUUGCCAUCCCUAGCCUUAAGUAGUUGUGUUGCUACUCGUGGUAUGGGAACCAUAAUAAGCAACAUGAUGUAUUUUGGAGGUAGGCUACCAUUAUUCAUCACAAUGCACUAAGAUAUUAUCUCAUAGGGGGUGAGGUCUACUCUAUGAGCAGUGAUUACAUGUACGUCUUAAUGGAUCCUAAUAAGUUCUCUCAUUCAUAAUUUGUUCUUGUGGUUUCAUUAAUUCCACCACUCAGAUUUGGAUUUGCGACAUAUUUUGGUUUCUUACAUUUUUUGUUCUACAGAUUAUCUGCUUAUGUUCAACAGGAUUGCCUUAAUUUAAACAAUAAUUUUCAAAAAUUAAUUUGCAAUAAUCUUAGGGUAGAUCUAGAACCAUGAACGCUUCCCUAGUGCUUGUCAAACUUGGCAUAUGUAAGACCAAUUCAAUGGGUCUCAUUUUAAGAGAAAGAAGAAGUGUGCAUUCUCUACCAUUGAUGUGGUUAAUCUACACAUGUUUUGACUGAACAAAAAACUUGAUGAAACAUUUGAACGCUAUGUUGACCAAGUAAGAGGGAAUAAAUCAACAAGUUCUCCAUGCGAUCUUGAGUACCCCCUAUCAAAUAACUUACUUGAUGUUUAUUGCUCUAUUAAAAAUGCAAAAUAUAAAUGGAAAAAUUGAAUAAAAAUGUCAAAGCAUGUGAGAAUACAAAAAUAUACCAUAGGAAUUUUUGAAAUUUCCAAAUGACAGAGUAUAGAGAUAUAUCAUCUCUAAUCCAUGCAUAACAUGUCUUAAUUAGUGAUCUACAAAAUGAACACUUUGACCUACUUAAACCAUUCAUUACUAGGCAUAACAUUACUUGAGUCCUAGAAAGACUAAAAAAAAGGUAUGGAACAUUAGAGUGAACCAAUGUCUUUAGCGGACAUGAUAAUCCAUAUUACAAUUGAAGAACAAAAUAAAAACCAAGACAAUGUUGAGAAAACCAAAGAACUUAUUAGGCUAAUCUAGUAAGACAAACCCAAAAGUAAUAGGAGUACUAAUAACAAUAAGAACAACAAUAAGUCCUAAAAUAAAAAAAAUAAAAAAAAUAAGAAAAUCUAACUCAAAUUCUAUGAACAAGUCUUAGAACCCCAAAAUUUAAAAAAAAAAAAGAAAAAAGAAAAAAGAAAUUGCUUCAUGUGUGGAAAGCCUGGGCAGCAUGCAACAUAAUGCAAACAUAGGAAGAGGAAUGAAGAACCAAAACCUAAGGCCCAUUUAGCUGAGAUUUAUGUGAUAACCAUAAUAGGUCUAGGUGGUAGACUCUAGGGAUACUAGGCACAUAUGUGGAGGGGAUGGUAAUGAACAAGUAUUUAUAGGUGACUUGAGGCCUUUGCUUGUGAUCAACAAAUUAAGGGAAUGUGCUUCUCAAGGCUUGCUCAUGUUAAUUUUUUUUUAUUUAUAUUAUUAAUAAAAAUGCUUUCUACUUGUAUUGUUGGCUCACAUGAUUUAUGGUAUGUCAAGUUAGGACAUGUGCAUUAUUCUUACAAAAAGAAAAAUAGCAAACAUUAAGUUGAUACCUAAAAUUUUGUUUAGAAAAUUAUAGGAAGUGUGAAAGUUGUGUAGAAUCUAAAAAUACUAGGAAAACUUGUCAAUACAAAAGGCAAACAAAAUUCUUGAGUCUUAAUCAAAGAGACUUAUGAGAUUUAAAAGAUAUAAUGACUAGAAGUGGUAUAAGAUUUUCAUAACCUUUAUAGCAUUGUGAUAGCCAAGCUACAUACAACAACAAAGGCUAUGAGUAAAAUAUAUAAUUAAAGAAUGAACUUAUGUGCUUAACUAACAAUAUUAUGUAACAACUACUUAAGAUAUAUAUUAUAUCCCUAGAUUUUAUGAUGUUAGAUUUGAAUUUGAUUGCUCCACUACAAAGGCAACUAAAUAUAUAUUAAGGUAAUGGAAGAAACACCAAGGGCAAUGAGGUUUAUGUCUAACAUAUAGUAACCCAACCAACAUGAAUGGAGAUCUCAAGAAGUAAUUUCAUAUGGGUAAUGAUAAGUCACUUGUUGACUAUAUCAUGCACCAUUGGUUAUUUAAUUAUUUGUAAGAGUCCAUUCCUAUGAUGUAGAUGGUGUAUACUCUACAAUGGUUGACGGUAAGUGCAUUCUCUUAAUUAAUACCAUAUUCCUUAGGAAUGACCUGUUUAGUUGUAGAAUGCACUUGAUGGAUUCACCUAUACGAGAGUAGAAGCAGGACCAUUUUUCUAUAAGAACUUAGCCAAGUUCUUUAUGGCUUUUAUGACUACCUAGAAAAGUUUCAAAGCUUAUUCAUGCUAGCCUUCUUGCACAACUAUGAGUAAAUAAAGCAAUGUCGAUGGUGGCUCCUUGAUCCACAAUAAGAAUGUUUAUAGAAAAUUAAAUUUUCAUCAAAGUUUUGUGGUUCAUAACUUCUCAUUGUAAGGUAAGUUUGAUGCAUUGAGUUCUUAUGUUUCUUCGGCCAUUAUAGUACCUUUUUUUUUCUACUACCAUGCAAUGUAUGGGGGAUUGAGAGAAGGUUGCCUAAGUCUUUAUAUCCCACAUAGGAAGUGGAUGAGAAUAGGAAGUACAAAAAAUAAAAUAAAAUAAAAUAAUAUUCGUCACAGUUUUGUUGCUGAUGUAUUUCCUAAAAAUCAACAAUUGUUUCCUAAAAACAUCGAAAAUAUUUUUCACUUAAAAAUAGCAAUAUAUUAAACUCCAAUAAAAGAAAAAAACUUUCUCCUUCACAAAAAAGAAAAAAAGACCUAUAUGGAGAAUGAAAGAGUCAUAUUAUGAAAACAUAAAGAGUUGAUCGAUCUUCCACUAUUUUGCAAUCUCUCUCAUGUUUUUCUUUUUCAAGGAAUACUCUUGAGUAGUUGUAUUACUGCUUGUGAUUGGAGUUCACCAUCACAAAUAGUAGGAUGUUGUCCUUGGAGAUAGACCACCAUUGUUCCCCGUAUUACACCGGGCGAAAUCUAUUUAAAGGCAAUGGUUACCCGCCUUAACAAAUUGUGCCACAGGUUCUCUUCUUCAUAUUUUGUUUUUGCAGUUUUAUUCCACUAUUCAUGUUUGGCUUUUGAAAUUUUUAUAUUUUGGUUUCCUACAUUUAUUUGCCCCUUAUUAUUUGCUUGUGUUUGUUAGGGUUACUCUGAUUUAAAUGAUAAUUUUCAACUAUUGAUUUCCAGCAAGGGACACCUACAAGAUCCUAAGAUUUUUCUUUUGUUGUUAAAGAAAGUGAUAACGUGUGCUAAUAAUUAAUUAAGUACAUUUCAAAGAUGAUGUAUUACACAAUUGAAUGAAUCCCAAUUUAGUUGAGACAAAAAUAUUCACUUACUUUAAGCUGGGAGUUAAUAGUUAUAUAAUAUUCCAAUAAUUUUGGUCUGAUAUAGGCCGUGAUUUGCUUUCAACACCCUCUUAUGAAAUCUAUGAAAUAUCAUGAUAAUACACUAAAAUUCUUUUCUAAUGGUUGGGCAUUCAAUCAUCAAGCAUCCAUUGUUUUAUAUGAUGAGAAACCAUUCUCUUAUAUUUAUGGAUGACACGGUACGGUGAUGCACCAAAGAGGACAAGAACAUCCUCCUAAUACUACAAAUAAUUUAGGAUUCCAGACACGAACUAGCUAGAGAUUUAUAUACAUAAGAGAACAAUUCUAGUAAUAAUUUAACCAACUAAUAUUAAACAAAGUAGCUGAUGGAGAUGGGUCCAAAUCACAACAUUUUAAUUUCCAAGGCACGUAGAUAAGCGUAUUGAAGGUUUUACUUGGCAGUAUUAUUCGAGAUCAGUGUGCUAUGGGAGGGAAUUUUUCCUAUAUAAACCCCUGCUGCAAUCUCCGAGUGUAUCAAUCUGCUUACUCAUUUAAUUCAUCAAUCCCUACUGCUUCCAAUAUCAUGGCUUCUGUUAACCAGUACCAAUACAUCUGUUUGGCUUUGCUCUUCUUUCUGGCUGCUUGGGCAUCUCAAGCCACAGCCCGCAACCUUCUUGAGGCAUCAAUGUAUGAGAGACAUGAGGAUUGGAUGGCUCAGUAUGGGCGUGUAUAUAAGGAUGCUGAUGAGAAAAGCAAGCGCUACAAGAUAUUCAAGGAUAAUGUGGCACGUAUAGAAUCUUUCAACAAGGCCAUGGACAAAUCUUACAAGCUGAGCAUCAAUGAAUUUGCAGAUCUCACCAACGAAGAGUUCAGAGCCUCCCGAAAUAGAUUCAAGGCCCACAUCUGCUCCACCGAAGCAACUUCUUUCAAAUAUGAGCAUGUUGCUGCAGUGCCAUCUACUGUCGAUUGGAGAAAGAAAGGAGCUGUUACACCCAUCAAGGACCAAGGCCAAUGCGGUAAGUGAAAAUAUUUUUGUAGUAUGGUUUGAAAUUGAUGUUUUUCUCACUUUUUUACGAUAAAAAAAUGCAGGGUCUUGCUGGGCAUUUUCGGCUGUGGCAGCUAUGGAAGGAAUUACUCAGCUAUCAACUGGGAAGCUAAUCUCUCUUUCUGAACAAGAGCUGGUUGACUGUGACACUAGUGGGGAAGAUCAAGGCUGCAAUGGUGGUCUAAUGGACGAUGCCUUCAAAUUCAUAGAACAAAAUCAUGGUCUCGCCACCGAAGCUAACUACCCCUACGCGGGAACUGAUGGCACCUGCAACCGCAAGAAGGCAGCCCACCCUGCAGCCAAGAUAAAUGGGUAUGAAGAUGUGCCAGCCAACAAUGAGAAGGCUCUGCAAAAGGCUGUUGCCCACCAACCUAUUGCUGUUGCCAUUGAUGCUGGGGGGUUUGAGUUCCAAUUCUAUUCAAGUGGUGUGUUUACAGGACAGUGUGGCACAGAACUAGACCACGGUGUUGCUGCUGUUGGUUACGGAACCAGCGAUGAUGGGAUGAAGUAUUGGCUGGUGAAGAACUCAUGGGGCACAGGAUGGGGUGAAGUAGGUUACAUACGGAUGCAAAGGGAUGUGACUGCAAAGGAAGGUCUCUGUGGAAUUGCAAUGCAAGCAUCUUACCCCACCGCAUAAAAUUAAUUGAAAAAAGGCAAUCCCUACUAUCCUGUGGUUAAUCAAUUACAAGAUAUGUUGCGCUGAUAAUUUCUAGUCUAUAGUUGUGUAUAAUUCAGCAAGGAUGCCCUGUGGUCAAAAGAGUCCAUAAAAUUAUGUAUGGACCAUAAUAUAUAAAUAUGAACGUACAC